UACGAAGGGGGCUAGCGUUGCUCGGAAUCACUGGGCGUAAAGCGCACGUAGGCGGAUUGUUAAGUCAGGGGUGAAAUCCUGGAGCUCAACUCCAGAACUGCCUUUGAUACUGGCGAUCUUGAGUCCGGGAGAGGUGAGUGGAACUGCGAGUGUAGAGGUGAAAUUCGUAGAUAUUCGCAAGAACACCAGUGGCGAAGGCGGCUCACUGGCCCGAUAAUGACGCUGAGGCACGAAAGCGUGGGGAGCAAACAGG
rnacentral:rRNA from 1 species